UACGUAGGGGGCCAGCGUGCUCGGAAUUACUGGGCGUAAAGGGUUCGUAGGUGGUGCGGCAAGUCGGAAGUGAAAUCUCUGGGCUUAACCCAGAGGCUGCUUUCAAAACUGCCGCGCUCGAAUGCGAGAGAGGCCAACUGGAAUUGCAGGUGUUAGCGGUGAAAUGCGUAGAUAUCUGCAGAGAACACCCGUGCGCGAAGGCGGCUGGCUGGAUCGCAACUGACACUGAGGAACGAAAGCUAGGGGAGCAAACAGGAUUAGAUACCCUGUGUAGUCCUAGCCCUAAACCAUCGGAACUUGGGGUGGCCCGCGUAGGCGGGUCGUCCCGUAGCUAACGCGUUAAGCUCCGCGCCUGGGGAGUACGGUCGCAAGACUGAAACUCAAAGGAAUUGACGGGGGGCCCGCACAAGCCGGUGGCACAUGUGGUUCAAUUCGACGCGACGCGAAGAACCUUACAUGGGCUUGAACCGAUACUGACCAACGGUAGAAAUAUCGUCUUCCCGCAAGGGACAGUAGUAGAGGUGCUGCAUGGCUGUCGUCAGCUCGUGCCGUGAGGUGUUGGGUUAAGUCCCGCGACGAGCGCAACCGUUACUCGUAGUUGCUACCCGCAAGGGAGAACUCUACGAGGACUGCUCCGGAUAACGGAGAGGAAGGUGGGGAUGACGUCAAGUCAGCACGGCCUAUAUGUCCAGGGCUACACACGUGUUACAAUGCACGGUACAGACUGUUGCGAACCCGCGAGGGGGAGCUAAUCGGACAAAACCGUGCUCAGUUCGGAUUGCAGUCUGCAACUCGACUGCAUGAAGCUGGAAUCGCUAGUAAUGGCGUAUCAGAUCGACGCCGUGAAUACGUUCCCGGGCCUUGCACU
rnacentral:rRNA from 1 species